rnacentral:rRNA from 1 species
UACAGAGGUCUCAACCGUUGUUCGGAUUCAUUGGGCGUAAAGGGUGCGUAGGCGGUCGCGUAAGUCAGGUGUGAAAUCUCAGGGCUCAACCCUGAAACUGCACUUGAUACUGCGUGGCUCGGGUACUGGAGAGGAGACUGGAAUUUACGGUGUGGCAGUGAAAUGCGUAGAUAUCGUAAGGAAGACCAGUGGCGAAGGCGAGUCUCUGGACAGUUACCGACGCUGAGGCACGAAGGUCAGGGGAGCAAACGGG